GCGGUCUGUCAAGUCGGAUGUGAAAUCCCCGGGCUCAACCUGGGAACUGCAUUCGAAACUGGCAGGCUAGAGUCUUGUAGAGGGGGGUAGAAUUCCAGGUGUAGCGGUGAAAUGCGUAGAGAUCUGGAGGAAUACCGGUGGCGAAGGCGGCCCCCUGGACAAAGACUGACGCUCAGGUGCGAAAGCGUGGGGAGCAAACAGGAUUAGAUACCCUGGUAGUCCACGCCGUAAACGAUGUCGACUUGGAGGUUGUGCCCUUGAGGCGUGGCUUCCGGAGCUAACGCGUUAAGUCGACCGCCUGGGGAGUACGGCCGCAAGGUUAAAACUCAAAUGAAUUGACGGGGGCCCGCACAAGCGGUGGAGCAUGUGGUUUAAUUCGAUGCAACGCGAAGAACCUUACCUACUCUUGACAUCCAGAGAACUUUGCAGAGAUGGAUUGGUGCCUUCGGGAACUCUGAGACAGGUGCUGCAUGGCUGUCGUCAGCUCGUGUUGUGAAAUGUUGGGUUAAGUCCCGCAACGAGCGCAACCCUUAUCCUUUGUUGCCAGCGGUUAGGCCGGGAACUCAAAGGAGACUGCCAGUGAUA
rnacentral:rRNA from 1 species